GAUGAACGCUGGCGGCGUGCCUAACACAUGCCGGUCGAACGGAGUCCAGCCUUUAAGACCUUCGGGUCAAAGAGGGGAAGACUGAGUGGCGGACGGGUGAGUAACACGUGGGCAACCUGGCUCAUAGAGGGGGAUAACAGAGAGAAAUUUCUGCUAAUACCGCAUAAGCACACACUGCCGCAUGGCAGAGGGUGAAAAGAGAAUCGCUACGAGAUGGACCCGCGUCUGAUUAGCCAGUUGGCAGGGUAAGAGCCUACCAAAGCGACGAUCAGUAGCCGAUCUGAGAGGAUGAACGGCCACAUUGGGACUGAGACACGGCCCAAACUCCUACGGGAGGCAGCAGUGGGGGAUAUUGCACAAUGGGGGGAACCCUGAUGCAGCGACGCCGCGUGAGUGAAGAAGUAUUUCGGUAUGUAAAGCUCUAUCAGCAGGGAAGAUAAUGACAGUACCUGAAUAAGAAGCCCCGGCUAACUACGUG
rnacentral:rRNA from 1 species